AUACUUACCUGGCAUAGGGGUUACCGUGAUCAACAAGGCGGUUCCCCCAGGGCGAGGCUCUUCCAUUGCACUCUGGGAAAGGUUGACCCCUGCGAUUAUCCCUCAUGUGGAUAACUCGUAUGCGAAAUUUUUGGUAGCCGGGAAGUGCGUCCGCGCACACCCCGA
rnacentral:snRNA from 1 species